rnacentral:rRNA from 1 species
UCCGUAGGUGAACCUGCGGAAGGAUCAUUACCGAGUUGAUUCGGGCUCCGGCCCGAUCCUCCCACCCUUUGUGUACCUACCUCUGUUGCUUUGGCGGGCCGCGGUCCUCCGCGGCCGCCCCCCUCCCCGGGGGGUGGCCAGCGCCCGCCAGAGGACCAUCAAACUCCAGUCAGUAAACGAUGCAGUCUGAAAAACAUUUAAUAAACUAAAACUUUCAACAACGGAUCUCUUGGUUCUGGCAUCGAUGAAGAACGCAGCGAAAUGCGAUAAGUAAUGUGAAUUGCAGAAUUCAGUGAAUCAUCGAAUCUUUGAACGCACAUUGCGCCCUUUGGUAUUCCGAAGGGCAUGCCUGUUCGAGCGUCAUUACAACCCUCAAGCUCUGCUUGGUAUUGGGCACCGUCCUUUGCGGGCGCGCCUCAAAGACCUCGGCGGUGGCGUCUUGCCUCAAGCGUAGUAGAACAUACAUCUCGCUUCGGAGCGCAGGGCGUCGCCCGCCGGACGAACCUUCUGAACUUUUCUCAAGGUUGACCUCGGAUCAGGUAGGGAUACCCGCUGAACUUAAGCAUAUCAAUAAGCGGAGGA